rnacentral:sRNA from 1 species
GCCAGGUGUGGUGGUGCACGCCUAUAAUCCCAGCUACUCGGAGGCUAAGGCAGAAGAAUUGCUUGAACCCAGGAGGUGGAGGUUGCAGUGAGCCGAGAUGGCGCCACUGCACUCCAGACUGGGUGACACAGCAAGAUUCUGUCUUAA